AGGGUUUGAUUCUGGCUCAGGAUGAACGCUGGCGGCGUGCUUAACACAUGCAAGUCGAACGAGAAUCAACGGAUUGAGGAUUCGUCCAAAUGAAGUUGAGGAAAGUGGCGGACGGGUGAGUAACGCGUGAGGAACCUGCCUUGGAGUGGGGAAUAACAGUUGGAAACAGCUGCUAAUACCGCAUGAUGCAACUGGAUCGCAUGGUCCUGGUUGCCAAAGAUUUAUCGCUCUGAGAUGGCCUCGCGUCUGAUUAGCUUGUUGGCGGGGUAACGGCCCACCAAGGCGACGAUCAGUAGCCGGACUGAGAGGUUGGCCGGCCACAUUGGGACUGAGACACGGCCCAG
rnacentral:rRNA from 1 species